UUAUGAGCAUUUGCGUUCCACCUUCCAAGAAGAGUAUCCGCCGGCCGAACUUAUCGACGGUAGCAAUGGAAACAAAGGUUGCAAACAUAUUAACAAGACCGGUGAUGACGGCAGACAUAAGAGAGGCAUCGUCACCAAAACCUAUGGUUUUGAAGAGAACAGGGGCAUAGAACAUGAUGACAUUGAUACCAGUCAAUUGCUGGAAGAAGGGGAUCAAGAUGGACAUGGUGAGCUGGGGCCUGUACUUCUUCUUGAUUAUGUUGGACCAAGGGUGCUGCACGGUUUUGGCCUCUUCACUAGCAGCAACG
rnacentral:lncRNA from 1 species